rnacentral:rRNA from 1 species
GACGAACGCUGGCGGCGUGCUUAACACAUGCAAGUCGAACGGAAAGGCCCUGCUUUUGUGGGGUGCUCGAGUGGCGAACGGGUGAGUAACACGUGAGUAACCUGCCCUUGACUUUGGGAUAACUUCAGGAAACUGGGGCUAAUACCGGAUAGGAGCUCCUGCUGCAUGGUGGUGGUUGGAAAGUUUCGGCGGUUGGGGAUGGACUCGCGGCUUAUCAGCUUGUUUGUGGGGUAGUGGCUUACCAAGGCUUUGACGGGUAGCCGGCCUGAGAGGGUGACCGGCCACAUGGGGACUGAGAUACGGCCCAGACUCCUACGGGAGGCAGCAGUGGGGAAUAUUGCACAAUGGGCGGAAGCCUGAUGCAGCAACGCCGCGUGCGGGAUGACGGCCUUCGGGUUGUAAACCGCUUUCGCCUGUGACGAAGCGUGAGUGACGGUAAUGGGUAAAGAAGCACCGGCUAACUACGUG